AUUGCUUCUCAGCCUUUUGGCUAAGAUCAAGUGUAGUAUCUGUUCUUAUCAGUUUAACAGCUGACACGUCCCCCAUCUGGGGACCACAUAUUUAAUUGAUUUAUUUGGAAUAGGAAUUUGGAAAAGGGGCUCGCCCCAUCCACUCCACGCAUCGACCUGAUAUAGCAGUAUCUCCAGGCACGGUGCACCCCCU